AAGAAUUCUCCACCUCUGAUCUCAUCGCAACAGGGCACAAUCCAAGUCAUGUAAAUUGACUUCCAUGGUUAUGUGACAUAUAUAAUAAUUGAAUUCCGUCUCUACACCAUGCAUGUGCAGAUGUUUUAAAGUCUGAAAAUAUUUGAUAUUGCAAACACUUCUGGUCAAAACAUUUUGGGUAAGCACAUUUAACAGCCAAGGUAUUUGAGACAGAGGUUUCAACAGCAUUCCUGGAGGAGACACAAAGACAGAUGAGUCACAUGAAGGAUGGGAGGAGGGAAGGUGGCUGUUGAUAGGUAUUUUGAGACUCUAUUUGUGUCCUACCCAACACUCCCCCUCCCCCCGAACCAUUUCUCUGUCUAUUUACCUUUCUGCUAGUCAUACAGAGACAUUCACAGUUACCUACAAAGAACCAGAAUAGUUGUAAUAAGUCAAGAGGAAACUUAUUUUUGAUAAUGACUCAUUGAAGAUGUUUUGAAAAUUUAAAAGUAAGCUCUGUAAGCAGAAAUCCGUGAGGAAAAUCAAGGAGGAAUUGUUUGUGUCUUAAGUAAAUAAAAGGCAAAGAGAACAAACAAACAAACAAAAA
rnacentral:lncRNA from 1 species